rnacentral:sRNA from 1 species
UUAUAUUCUGUUCCAAGUGGCGCAGUAUUCUAGUCAGCUGUGUUUAUUAUGAAGGCGGGGCUAAAAAUCCGCCAAAGGGCACAUCGAUGAAGUUCCUUGUGCUGGCUCGCUACGCCCAGUAGUGGGUUGGUGCUGGGAGUAAGGGGGAUGGGGCGACCGCAAUGGCAUGCGCAAUCGACCCUACCCUCGCGGAGACCUAUGUACGUGCUGCAUUGGCAAGUACGGCAUAGGAUUAAACCUGCAAUGCGGUAUUAAGCUGCGUGCAGUGUAGCCUGCCUUGAGUGGAACUGGUGGAGGAUAGAUCAGAUACAAAAUCUUUGGAUCCAAGGUUUUGUAUUAUCGCUAUAGGAAACCAGUUUUGCAAAAGAGGCUAAUAAUAAAUCAGGCUGUUGAGGAAAACUCCUAGACUGUUCCAAAGAGAGGAAGAAAAGGGAUUGCAGUGUGGACUAAGUGGUAAUCCAGCCCCAUAUAUGGCAACAAUAUGGACUUUUGGUUAAAGGGAAACCGCCACAGCGGCGACGCUGAGGUCUUAAAAGUGGGAAAGCCUGCUGGACCUAAGCCGCAAACUUAACCUUUUCUUCUGCCACUUGGAUUAUACAUAGA